rnacentral:misc_RNA from 1 species
CCGAGUUUACAACUCCCAAACCCCCAUGUGAACGUUACCAAACUGUUGCCUCGGCGGGUCAUUCAUGCCCCGGGCGCGUCGCAGCCCCGGACCAAGGCGCCCGCCGGAGGAACCAACCAAAAAACUCUUCUGUAUGUCCCUCGCGGACUUUUAUAAUUCUGAACCAUCUCGGCGCCCCUAGCGGGCGUUUCGAAAAUGAAUCA